UAAGGAAUAUUGGGCAAUGGACGCAAGUCUGACCCAGCCAUGCCGCGUGGAGGAUGAAGGUCCUCUGGAUUGUAAACUUCUUUUAUCUGCGAAGAAACCCAGGAUUUCCAUCCUGGUUGACGGUACCAGAUGAAUAAGCACCGGCUAACUCCGUGCCAGCAGCCGCGGUAAUACGGAGGGUGCAAGCGUUAUCCGGAUUCACUGGGUUUAAAGGGUGCGUAGGUGGGUUGGUAAGUCCGUGGUGAAAUCUCCAAGCUUAACUUGGAAACUGCCGUGGAUACUAUCAAUCUUGAAUAUCGUGGAGGUAAGCGGAAUAUGUCAUGUAGCGGUGAAAUGCUUAGAUAUGACAUAGAACACCGAUAGCGAAGGCAGCUUGCUACACGAUCAUUGACACUGAGGCACGAAAGCGUGGGGAGCAAACAGG
rnacentral:rRNA from 1 species